rnacentral:rRNA from 1 species
GACGAACCGUGCGAACGUUAUUCGGAAUCACUGGGCUUAAAGGGCGCGUAGGCGGGCUCACAAGUCAGGGGUGAAAGCCCACGGCCCAACCGUGGAAGUGCCUUUGAUACUGUGGGCCUCGAGGGGGGUAGGGGCGUGCGGAACUCAGGGUGGAGCGGUGAAAUGCGUAGAUAUCCUGAGGAACACCGGUGGCGAAAGCGGCGCGCUGGACCCCUUCUGACGCUGAGGCGCGAAAGCCAGGGGAGCGAACAGG